rnacentral:rRNA from 1 species
UAAUACGGAGGGUCCGAGCGUUAUCCGGAAUCAUUGGGUUUAAAGGGUCCGUAGGCGGGAAUCUAAGUCAGUGGUGAAGUCUUGCAGCUCAACUGUAAAAUUGCCAUGGAUACUGGAUUUCUUGAAUUAGUGUGAAGUGGUUAGAAUGUGUAGUGUAGCGGUGAAAUGCAUAGAUAUUACACAGAAUACCAAUUGCGAAGGCAGAUCACUAACACUAUAUUGACGCUGAGGGACGAAAGCGUGGGGAGCGAACAGGAUUAGAUACCCUGGUAGUCCACGCCGUAAACGAUGGAUACUAACUGUUCGAUCUUCGGAUUGAGUGGCUAAGCGAAAGUGAUAAGUAUCCCACCUGGGGAGUACGUUCGCAAGAAUG